UGGGGAAUAUUGGACAAUGGGCGAAAGCCUGAUCCAGCCAUGCCGCGUGUGUGAAGAAGGUCUUCGGAUUGUAAAGCACUUUUAAGUUGGGAGGAAGGGCAGUAACCUAAUACGUUGCUGUCUUGACGUUACCGACAGAAUAAGCACCGGCUAACUCUGUGCCAGCAGCCGCGGUAAUACAGAGGGUGCAAGCGUUAAUCGGAAUUACUGGGCGUAAAGCGCGCGUAGGUGGUUUGUUAAGUUGGAUGUGAAAUCCCCGGGCUCAACCUGGGAACUGCAUUCAAAACUGACAAGCUAGAGUAUGGUAGAGGGUGGUGGAAUUUCCUGUGUAGCGGUGAAAUGCGUAGAUAUAGGAAGGAACACCAGUGGCGAAGGCGACCACCUGGACUGAUACUGACACUGAGGUGCGAAAGCGUGGGGAGCAAACAGGAUUAGAUACCCCAGUAGUCCCUGAGCGGGCUGGCAAGGCGCAU
rnacentral:rRNA from 1 species